rnacentral:lncRNA from 1 species
AGUGAGGUCCUGCCCUUCAGAUGCUGAGCUGGGCCCUGGGUGGGUGGAAUUUUGCAGCUACUCUGAAAUCAGCUCUGUGGUCAAGGUGGAAAACUCAGUGACCCUGUGGCAGGCCCCAUUGCUUGGGACGCAGACAGCCUGGUGCUGGGUCUGCAAGCCCAGUUGCAUGGAGA